AGGCUGAUUUUCCAGGUAAAUCCGGAAAAUCAAGGCUGAGGCGUGAUGACGAGGCACUACGGUGCUGAAGCAACAAAUGCCCUGCUUCCAGGAAAAGCCUCUAAGCAUCAGGUAACAUCAAAUCGUACCCCAAACCGACACAGGUGGUCAGGUAGAGAAUACCAAGGCGCUUGAGAGAACUCGGGUGAAGGAACUAGGCAAAAUGGUGCCGUAACUUCGGGAGAAGGCACGCUGAUACGUAGGUGAAGUCCCUUGCGGAUGGAGCUGAAAUCAGUCGAAGAUACCAGCUGGCUGCAACUGUUUAUUAAAAACACAGCACUGUGCAAACACGAAAGUGGACGUAUACGGUGUGACGCCUGCCCGGUGCCGGAAGGUUAAUUGAUGGGGUUAGCGGUAACGCGAAGCUCUUGAUCGAAGCCCCGGUAAACGGCGGCCGUAACUAUAACGGUCCUAAGGUAGCGAAAUUCCUUGUCGGGUAAGUUCCGACCUGCACGAAUGGCGUAAUGAUGGCCAGGCUGUCUCCACCCGAGACUCAGUGAAAUUGAACUCGCUGUGAAGAUGCAGUGUACCCGCGGCAAGACGGAAAGACCCCGUGAACCUUUACUAUAGCUUGACACUGAACAUUGAGCCUUGAUGUGUAGGAUAGGUGGGAGGCUUUGAAGUGUGGACGCCAGUCUGCAUGGAGCCGACCUUGAAAUACCACCCUUUAAUGUUUGAUGUUCUAACGUUGGCCCCUAAUCGGGGUUGCGGACAGUGUCUGGUGGGUAGUUUGACUGGGGCGGUCUCCUCCUAAAGAGUAACGGAGGAGCACGAAGGUUGGCUAAUCCUGGUCGGACAUCAGGAGGUUAGUGCAAUGGCAUAAGCCAGCUUGACUGCGAGCGUGACGGCGCGAGCAGGUGCGAAAGCAGGUCAUAGUGAUCCGGUGGUUCUGAAUGGAAGGGCCAUCGCUCAACGGAUAAAAGGUACUCCGGGGAUAACAGGCUGAUACCGCCCAAGAGUUCAUAUCGACGGCGGUGUUUGGCACCUCGAUGUCGGCUCAUCACAUCCUGGGGCUGAAGUAGGUCCCAAGGGUAUGGCUGUUCGCCAUUUAAAGUGGUACGCGAGCUGGGUUUAGAACGUCGUGAGACAGUUCGGUCCCUAUCUGCCGUGGGCGCUGGAGAACUGAGGGGGGCUGCUCCUAGUACGAGAGGACCGGAGUGGACGCAUCACUGGUGUUCGGGUUGUCAUGCCAAUGGCACUGCCCGGUAGCUAAAUGCGGAAGAGAUAAGUGCUGAAAGCAUCUAAGCACGAAACUUGCCCCGAGAUGAGUUCUCCCUGACUCCUUGAGAGUCCUGAAGGAACGUUGAAGACGACGACGUUGAUAGGCCGGGUGUGUAAGCGCAGCGAUGCGUUGAGCUAACCGGUACUAAUGAACCGUGAGGCUUAACCUUACAAC
rnacentral:rRNA from 1 species